ensembl:lncRNA
GGCUCAGGGAAGCUUGACCCUGAGCAGCUGGUAGGGUAACCAUUGUAUUCUUGGACUGAAUUUUCUAUUCUGCGUGAAUGUUAACGUAUGUUUAGCUGCAGUGCCUAAUGCGCAGUUGGAAUAAAACCUUGUCUUUUCAGAAGUCCUAUUGAAUCAUGCUUACCUGUGGCUUUACAGUCAGUGGUAGUGGGGUAAUAGUCUACAUGCAAAUCCUUAUUCCAGAUCCUGACAGAAUUCAAUAAAAUGCAAAUAAUGUGUUUUAUUCUUUUGUUUAAAUAGCUUUCUGCUUAUCUCUUCAUACAAAUAAAAACAUAACGGCUUGUGCAGUUAUAAAUAGCAAAGCUAAAUUUCCAAAAUUAACAAAGAAGGCUGUUUGAAGUGGUUCACUGCAAAACUGAACAUUUCUCACGUGCUAUAUUGAUAUGAUGAUAGGCAAUGCAGGAAGUGAUCUGUCAUUAACAUCCUCCAAUGUUUUCCUUUAUAUGAUUUUGCUUUGUAGUUGCAUGUAGCUUGAAGGUUUUUAUUAAAAUGUUUGCUGCUGGAUUGUACUUAAGGAUGGCUGUAAGAAUCAGGGCAAAACAAAUGUUCCCCUCAUUCCAGAGAUGGGAUUCUGAAGAAUGUUUUGACCAAGGUAAACUGGCUAUAAGGACAUAUGAGACUUUGGACUACUGACAUUUAUAAUGGACAGUGAGUGUUGCCUUGGUAAUUAUAAUGUCUGAUGUCACCUUCCUAAAAUCUCUUCUUAAUUUGCUUGCAAACCCCCAUUAGUUCUGAAAACAAAGGGAGUGAAGCCAUAAAUUUAAAGAGCAACCAAAAGGAAAGCACAACUCUUCCUGCACUUUUGAAGGUGAAUAGUGUCUAUACACUGAUACCAUAUUGAGUCUGUCUGCCACUGAGUUAAUGAUCUGUCAUGCUUCUGACAGACCUACAUGCCAUGAUUAUUUUUUUUUAAUAUUCAUUGGCCAUCUCAGCAGAAGGCCGGAGUUGGCAAAGAAUCUGCAAGGCUCUGUCUUAACAAAGUCAGAUGUGUAAAUUGUAACUGACCAGGGAGUGGAGCUGAGAACUGUCCUGAGCUACCACAGCUCUUCAGCUGUUCUGAAAGCUUUACGCACUCUUUUAUUCAUUGAUUUUCUUUCAUUGAUGAAAUCUUUAGCUGUGUGGGAGAAAAAGUUAAUACCUUAGGAAAAUAGAGAAUUUUAUGUUUAUGUGCCAGGAUGUUAUUAUCAAUCGUCAUUUGAUCACUUUCUAAAAAAUGUAAUUGAAAUAUAUUUACUACAUCAGUUCAUUGCCAGAAUGUACACCGUGGCCUGCUACUGUUUAUUUACAGAUUUUAUUUGGCUUCUGUUU